GAGGGGGACGGAAUCUCUGUCUUUCUGACAACAGAUGCAUUCAACAAGCCACCGAAGGUUUGAGGAAGUGUCGGUAUUCGGUGGGACUGGUUCUUUCCCCCUUUCCCCCGGUGGCCCUCAAGUCUGGAUAUAGGGGCUGAGGAGGCUCCAGUGCGCAGGCUCCGGGCACCGGAUAAAAGCGGAGCUGGCGAGUCUAGUGCUGUCUCGAUGGAGGAGCAAGAAACGGAAGAGGUCGGGGGGAGAAGCAGCCGGAAAAAUGCAGCCACCAUCAACGCCGCCUUCCUGCCACCGUGCUUCGGGGUAAAAAGCUGCCGUUGCCGUCGGUGCAGUUGCCGUCGCUGCCUCCUAUACUUCUCUUGGCCUCGGGGAAGGAUUUCCCCACCGGUGGGACAAUGUGCGGGGAGGGGAGUGGGAAUUCCUUUAUAUGGCGGUGAUUAAACGAGGGAGGGACAGACAGUGAUCUCGA
rnacentral:lncRNA from 1 species